rnacentral:rRNA from 1 species
GUGUCAGCAGCCGCGGUAAUACGUAGGGUCCAAGCGUUAAUCGGAAUUACUGGGCGUAAAGCGUGCGCAGGCGGUUCGUUAAGUCAGCUGUGAAAGCCCCGGGCUCAACCUGGGAAUUGCGGUUGAAACUGGCGAACUAGAAUCUGGCAGAGGGGGGUGGAAUUCCACGUGUAGCAGUGAAAUGCGUAGAGAUGUGGAGGAACACCGAUGGCGAAGGCAGCCCCCUGGGCUGAGAUUGACGCUCAGGCACGAAAGCGUGGGGAGCAAACAGGAUUAGAUACCCUGGUAGUCC